UUAGAAAUGAAAAGGGGCAACAGCAGAGGGAGACUGACGGUAUGGAGUUUGAGGAAAUUAUCCAAAAAGUGUUGUCCCUAAUUAUACUCGGUCCUCGAAGAGUAAAUAGGGUAUUGUAUUUGAAUUUUGAAGAUACAAGAAAACUAAAAACGCCAUUCCGUAAGGAAGGACGUCCCUUCUUGUUUAUUUGUAAUUGUAUCGCUUCUCGGGAGUUUUUCUCCACCAACUCUCUCCAUGCUUCGUAGGGUUAGGAGGAGCUUUUAGUAUCUGAUUUCGGGGUUUAUGCGCUUAAUCCCCUGCUAACUGCUUGAAGAACUAACUUUUCUCAGAAGAAGAGAGACAGAGACAGAGACAGAGAAAGAAAAGUCCUCCUGAAGGAACAGCAGCACACAAAUUCUGCUGUACGCACACAGUUUUCCACACACUUUCCAUGCAAUUGGCCACAGAAUUAUUUUCCCUUCAUUUCCCAACCGACACUUCUGUUCGUUCUCUGCCUCACUGCCACACUCCUCCUCGUCUCGUAGAGCCCACCCUUGUUUGCAUCCGAUUAGCAAUUUCCAUGCACUCCAAAGAACUGUGGAUGAGAUUUCAUUAUGAGAGUUCCUUAUGUUCUUGCUGUUUCUUCUGGUUUCGCUUUCCUACUCCUUCCCUUGACUCCAUUGGGCCCUUAAGCACUUUCCAUGCAUUUAAACAAUUUUCAUUCUGUACUACUUUCCUCCUCCUUCGACAAGGAAUUUGUUGCUGUCAAAAUUUUUGAUGAAAAUUUCAUACAUUUAUUUGUUGAAGGAGCUUGGGAAUAUUUGAAAAUAAAGUUUGUAUCGCACCGAGCGAUUCCC
rnacentral:lncRNA from 1 species